CUAUUGCAGCUUUUCAUGCCAAAAAAAAUCUCCCUGUGUGUGAAUUCAGUGUUGCUGGCAAAACCCCAGUCUGAAAUGGGUUUUCUUACUCACUUAACAUAUUCUUCUGGUGUGAAGGAAUAAUUUCCAACUAAACAUCUUACAGAAAGCUGCUUGCUGAUUUUGCUAAGCACAUUUACUGAAAAUUAGUUCUCCUAAUUGCCAAAAAUACUUCUUUUCCAAAUGUUUCUUACCUCGAUUCUAGCCAGCAGGCAAGACAUACUCUGAUGGGUAGAGGAGGUAUGAAUCAAGUCAUGAGAAUGGAAACUGGAAGACUAGCAUCAUGAUUCUGAAAAGAAGAAUAUGAAAAAACUUCUGUUUCUACAUGUCCAAGAAGUCAUGGGAUCUUCCUCCAAUGCAUUGCACAAGAAAGUUUGUGCACUGAAUGAAGUGUUAAUCUACAGAAGGAAGCUUGUCAGCGCUCUACAAAAGCAAUGCAGGUCAAGUCACUCCCUCCCAAGACAGGUAUCCUCAGGAUUUGCUCACCUUUACACUCAUAAAAAAUUUGGACCUGUGCCAGCCAGUGUGCUCUGGUGUGUAGGAAGUCUCCCAGGA